CCGCCAUAUUUGUUGAUGGUGCGUUGAACAAAAUCGUAUAAAUCACGGAUAUGAAUCGUCAUUAAGAGAGCAAAAAUAUGUCUAGCAGAGCAACCAAAAGCUCCCAUGGGAGGCCUUUCUCCUCCAAUCGGACACAGAUUAAUACAGCAAAAACAUCCGUCUCUGGACAGAAGUACCCAGAGAUCAAACAAAGAGGGUUUUAUUCAGAUAUUUUGGGAACAGGUGCCCAAGAAAGAUUAGGGAAUGUAUUGCAAGGGCCUGAGACUGUGGAACAGGAUACUCUUUGGAAUGUUGCCAAAGAAAAACACACUCCAAAAGGUA